AACCCGUAUUUUUGUACAGUGGAAUAAUCCGGAUUUAUUUAUGAUAAGCUAAGGACAAAAUUAUUUCGGGAUUUGAAGUCGGGACUUUUGACCGUUGAUUUUCUUUUGAGACAUAAGUUAUAUAUGAAAUUGAUGGCAUUGAACACUUAGGGAAAAUUGGGACCACAAUUCAUAAAAUUGGAAUUAAAAAUCUUGCAAAAAAAUAAAGCUAUGUGGCCGUGUGCAAUGGGUUGGUCCCACACAUUGUGUGGCCAAUUUUAAUUGGUCCAACACAUUGUGUGGGCCAAAGACUUGUAUAAAUAUUUUAUGGACACUUAAAGGAUGACCUCUAAGUCAUCUUUAUUCUUUUCCACACUUAGAAAAAAAGAAAGCAAGAAGUUGAAGAACCAACCAUGGCUCUCGGCUAGCACAUGGAAAAUCAAGAUCAUUUUUUUAGCCUCUCCAAAAUUUAUUCCUUGGUACAAACCCACUAAUUUAAGGUCCCUAAGUAACUUGGAAGCAUUGUUGGAGUGAUCAAGUCCUUCAUUCAAUAGAUUGCAAACCCUAACCCCUUUGUGGAGUUGAAGAAGAAAGACCUUGGGGAGCCCGAAGCCUAGUUUGGACUUAGCUUGAGUUGGAUCAUAUUGGAGAGCGUUUGAGGUACAGACGCACAGCUUGGUGAUCCACCUGUUUAGGACACCCCCUUCUGCUAUUCGGAGUGCUCCUCUCAUCCCGGAGCUUAUAUUUUUGGUAUAUAUACUUGUUAGUGCAUUUAUACAUAUUCGUUCAUGGGUACGGCGGGGCCCUGUCCUGUCAUAUGAUUCUGUCGGUCUGUUUAGAGGUCUGUGGACAUGUUUGUGGGUUAGGGUCUUUCUGUAUGAAUGUAUGUACAUGUCGUUUGGGCGAUCCCAUACGCCGAGGCGGCCGGUCCGCA